UGCCACAAAGCAAAGGAUGUAAUUAAGGUC
rnacentral:piRNA from 1 species